rnacentral:rRNA from 1 species
GUGGGGAAUUUUGGACAAUGGGCGCAAGCCUGAUCCAGCAAUGCCGCGUGCAGGAAGAAGGCCUUCGGGUUGUAAACUGCUUUUGUACGGAACGAAAAGGCUCUGGUUAAUACCUGGGGCUCAUGACGGUACCGUAAGAAUAAGCACCGGCUAACUACGUGCCAGCAGCCGCGGUAAUACGUAGGGUGCAAGCGUUAAUCGGAAUUACUGGGCGUAAAGCGUGCGCAGGCGGUUUUGUAAGACAGGCGUGAAAUCCCCGGGCUCAACCUGGGAAUUGCGCUUGUGACUGCAAGGCUGGAGUGCGGCAGAGGGGGAUGGAAUUCCGCGUGUAGCAGUGAAAUGCGUAGAUAUGCGGAGGAACACCGAUGGCGAAGGCAAUCCCCUGGGCCUGCACUGACGCUCAUGCACGAAAGCGUGGGGAGCAAACAGGAUUAGAUACCCGGGUAGUCC